UAGAGUUUGAUCAUGGCUCAGAUUGAACGCUGGCGGCAGGCCUAACACAUGCAAGUCGAACGGUAACAGGAAGCAGCUUGCUGCUUCGCUGACGAGUGGCGGACGGGUGAGUAAUGUCUGGGAAACUGCCCGGUGGAGGGGGAUAACUACUGGAAACGGUAGCUAAUACCGCAUAACGUCGCAAGACCAAAGAGGGGGACCUUCGGGCCUCUUGCCACCGGAUGUGCCCAGAUGGGAUUAGCUUGUUGGUGGGGUAACGGCUCACCAAGGCGACGAUCCCUAGCUGGUCUGAGAGGAUGACCAGCCACACUGGAACUGAGACACGGUCCAGACUCCUACGGGAGGCAGCAGUGGGGAAUAUUGCACAAUGGGCGCAAGCCUGAUGCAGCCAUGCCGCGUGUAUGAAGAAGGCCUUCGGGUUGUAAAGUACUUUUCAGCGGGGAGGAAGGGAUUGUGGUUAAUAACCGCAGUCAUUGACGUUACCCGCAGAAGAAGCACCGGCUAACUCCGUGCCAGCAGCCGCGGUAAUACGGAGGGUGCAAGCGUUAAUCGGAAUUACUGGGCGUAAAGCGCACGCAGGCGGUCUGUCAAGUCGGAUGUGAAAUCCCCGGGCUCAACCUGGGAACUGCAUUCGAAACUGGCAGGCUUGAGUCUCGUAGAGGGGGGUGGAAUUCCAGGUGUAGCGGUGAAAUGCGUAGAGAUCUGGAGGAAUACCGGUGGCGAAGGCGGCCCCCUGGACGAAGACUGACGCUCAGGUGCGAAAGCGUGGGGAGCAAACAGGAUUAGAUACCCUGGUAGUCCACGCCGUAAACGAUGUCUACUUGGAGGUUGUGCCCCUGAGGCGUGGCUUCCGGAGCUAACGCGUUAAGUAGACCGCCUGGGGAGUACGGCCGCAAGGUUAAAACUCAAAUGAAUUGACGGGGGCCCGCACAAGCGGUGGAGCAUGUGGUUUAAUUCGAUGCAACGCGAAGAACCUUACCUGGUCUUGACAUCCAGAGAACUUUCCAGAGAUGGAUUGGUGCCUUCGGGAACUCUGAGACAGGUGCUGCAUGGCUGUCGUCAGCUCGUGUUGUGAAAUGUUGGGUUAAGUCCCGCAACGAGCGCAACCCUUAUCCUUUGUUGCCAGCGGUCCGGCCGGGAACUCAAAGGAGACUGCCAGUGAUAAACUGGAGGAAGGUGGGGAUGACGUCAAGUCAUCAUGGCCCUUACGACCAGGGCUACACACGUGCUACAAUGGCAUAUACAAAGAGAAGCGACCUCGCGAGAGCAAGCGGACCUCAUAAAGUAUGUCGUAGUCCGGAUUGGAGUCUGCAACUCGACUCCAUGAAGUCGGAAUCGCUAGUAAUCGUGGAUCAGAAUGCCACGGUGAAUACGUUCCCGGGCCUUGUACACACCGCCCGUCACACCAUGGGAGUGGGUUGCAAAAGAAGUAGGUAGCUUAACCUUCGGGAGGGCGCUUACCACUUUGUGAUUCAUGACUGGGGUGAAGUCGUAACAAGGUAGCCGUA
rnacentral:rRNA from 1 species